GAUGAACGCUAGCUACAGGCUUAACACAUGCAAGUCGAGGGGCAGCAUUUUAGUUUGCUUGCAAACUGAAGAUGGCGACCGGCGCACGGGUGAGUAACACGUAUCCAACCUGCCGAUAACUCCGGAAUAGCCUUUCGAAAGAAAGAUUAAUACCGGAUAGUAUACGAAUAUCGCAUGAUAUUUUUAUUAAAGAAUUUCGGUUAUCGAUGGGGAUGCGUUCCAUUAGUUUGUUGGCGGGGUAACGGCCCACCAAGACUACGAUGGAUAGGGGUUCUGAGAGGAAGGUCCCCCACAUUGGAACUGAGACACGGUCCAAACUCCUACGGGAGGCAGCAGUGAGGAAUAUUGGUCAAUGGGCGCGAGCCUGAACCAGCCAAGUAGCGUGAAGGAUGAAGGCUCUAUGGGUCGUAAACUUCUUUUAUAUGGGAAUAAAGUUUUCCACGUGUGGAAUUUUGUAUGUACCAUAUGAAUAAGGAUCGGCUAACUCCGUGCCAGCAGCCGCGGUAAUACGGAGGAUCCGAGCGUUAUCCGGAUUUAUUGGGUUUAAAGGGAGCGUAGGUGGAUUGUUAAGUCAGUUGUGAAAGUUUGCGGCUCAACCGUAAAAUUGCAGUUGAAACUGGCAGUCUUGAGUACAGUAGAGGUGGGCGGAAUUCGUGGUGUAGCGGUGAAAUGCUUAGAUAUCACGAAGAACUCCGAUUGCGAAGGCAGCUCAC
rnacentral:rRNA from 1 species